ACCAAGAUUGUCAAUUUGCUGCCUAUUCGAACCACGAACUCCACCAAUAAGUUAGCCUGGCUAUAUGUUGAAGAGAUUGCUUAACUUCAUAGAGUUCCCUCAUCCAUUAUGUCUGACUGCGAUCCACGAUUAACUUCUCACUUUCAGGUUUGGGUUGUACUUGAGCACUGCUUAUUAUCCCUAAACAGAUGGCAAGUAAGAACGUACGAU
rnacentral:lncRNA from 1 species